rnacentral:rRNA from 1 species
GACGAACGCUGGCGGCGUGCCUAAUACAUGCAAGUCGAACGAGAGCGACCGGUGCUUGCACUGGUCAAUCUAGUGGCGAACGGGUGAGUAACACGUGGGUAACCUGCCCAUCAGAGGGGGAUAACAUCCGGAAACGGAUGCUAAAACCGCAUAGGUUUUCGAGCCGCAUGGCUUGAAGAGGAAAAGAGGCGCAAGCUUCUGCUGAUGGAUGGACCCGCGGUGCAUUAGCUAGUUGGUGAGGUAACGGCUCACCAAGGCCGUGAUGCAUAGCCGACCUGAGAGGGUGAUCGGCCACAUUGGGACUGAGACACGGCCCAAACUCCUACGGGAGGCAGCAGUAGGGAAUCUUCCGCAAUGGACGCAAGUCUGACGGAGCAACGCCGCGUGAGUGAAGAAGGUUUUCGGAUCGUAAAACUCUGUUGUUAGAGAAGAACAAGUGCUAGAGUAACUGUUAGCGCCUUGACGGUAUCUAACCAGAAAGCCACGGCUAACUACGUG